rnacentral:rRNA from 1 species
UACAGAGGGUGCGAGCGUUAAUCGGAAUUACUGGGCGUAAAGCGCGCGUAGGCGGCUUUUCAAGUCGAUUGUGAAAUCCCCGGGCUUAACCUGGGAACUGCAGUCGAGACUGUCUAGCUAGAGUAUGGGAGAGGGAAGUGGAAUUUCAGGUGUAGCGGUGAAAUGCGUAGAUAUCAGGAGGAACACCGGUGGCGAAGGCGGCUAUCUGGACCGGCAUUGACGCUGAGGAGCGAAAGCCAGGGGAGCAAACGGG